CCUACUCUCUGCGUCCUAGUGACAGUCCUACUUCUGACUUUUAUCGCGGCUGACAGAAUUCGAGGUUGGGAAGCGAAAGAGGGGAGGCCUUAUAAACACGGACUAUUCGUUUAGAAAAGGCCUCUUUUCCCCUGAAAUUUUGAAUGGUUUGCCCUCGCUCGCUCCGCGGUGGUUGCGGACCGCUGGAGCCACCUGGGGGCGUUGGGUGUCGCCGAGCGCGGGGACGGGAAAGUCGUGAUCGCCUCCCGGUCUAACUACCUUGUCAAGUGAAACACAGACUACAAGGCGUGAUUACUCACUUGCUCUAGGUCGCACAACUAGUAAAUGGCCAACGUGGAAUUCGAAUCCCAGUAACCAGACACCUUUGCCUGUGGGUUUAACCAUUACGCUGCACUCGCCUGGUGGGCGCUGGAGCUCCCGAGUAUGAAAUGAGGCUGUGAAAGCCCAGAGUACAAAAGGACAUUUUCCCCCAAGGGCAUCGCAACAUCUGAAUGGAGCCAGAGAAGAAGAGCGAGAAGUUGACCAAGUGAAGUGGGGUAAUAAAGCGCUUUACACUAGUUGUAAAACAAGUAA